UUUAUGGAGAGUUUGAUCCUGGCUCAGGAUGAACGCUGGCGGCGUGCCUAAUACAUGCAAGUCGAGCGAACUGACGAGGAGCUUGCUCCUUUGACGUUAGCGGCGGACGGGUGAGUAACACGUGGGU
rnacentral:rRNA from 1 species